AAUAGAUACCCGGGUAGUCCAUGCCGUAAACGUUGGGCACUAGGUGUGGGGCUCAUUCCACGAGUUCCGUGCCGCAGCAAACGCAUUAAGUGCCCCGCCUGGGGAGUACGGCCGCAAGGCUAAAACUCAAAGGAAUUGACGGGGGCCCGCACAGGCGGCGGAGCAUGCGGAUUAAUUCGAUGCAACGCGAAGAACCUUACCAAGGCUUGACAUACACCGGAAUCAUGCAGAGAUGUGUGCGUCUUCGGACUGGUGUACAGGUGGUGCAUGGUUGUCGUCAGCUCGUGUCGUGAGAUGUUGGGUUAAGUCCCGCAACGAGCGCAACCCUCGUCCUAUGUUGCCAGCACUUCGGGUGGGGACUCAUAGGAUACUGCCGGGGUCAACUCGGAGGAAGGUGGGGAUGACGUCAAAUCAUCAUGCCCCUUAUGUCUUGGGCUUCACGCAUGCUACAAUGGCCGGUACAAAGGGCUGCGAUACCGCGAGGUGGAGCGAAUCCCAAAAAGCCGGUCUCAGUUCGGAUUGGGGUC
rnacentral:rRNA from 1 species